AUUUAACGCUGGCGGCAGGACUAACACAUGCAAGUCGAGCGAGUGGCGGACGGGUGAGUAAUGUAUGGGGAACUGCCUGCUAGAGGGGGAUAACUACUGGAACCGGUGGCUAAUACCGCAUACCAUCAGAUGAACACAUAUGGGAUUAGCUAGUUGUUGGGGUACAGGCUCACCUAGGCGACGAUCUCUAGAUGGUCUGAGAGGCUGCUCAGACACACCGUGACUGAGACACGGUCCAGAAUCCUACGGGAGGCAGCAGUGGUGAAUAUUGCACAAUGGGCGCAAGCCUGAUGCAGCCACGCCGCGUGUAUGAAGAAGGCCUUCGGGUUGUAAAGCACUUGCAGCGAGGAGGCGUUACUCGCAGAAGAAGCACCGGCUAACUCCGUGCCAGCAGUCGCGGUAAUAC
rnacentral:rRNA from 1 species